CGUUGAGGCGGUUCCGUAAGUUGGACGUGAAAGCCCUCGGCCUAACCGAGGGAUGCCGUUCAAUACUGCGGGACUUGAGGACAGCAGAGGGAGGUGGAAUUCCCGGUGUAGUGGUGAAAUGCGUAGAUAUCGGGAGGAACACCUGUGGCGAAGGCGGCCUCCUGGGCUGCUCCUGACGCUGAAGGCGAAAGCUAGGGUAGCGAACG
rnacentral:rRNA from 1 species